GACGAACGCUGGCGGCGUGCCUAAUACAUGCAAGUCGAGCGCAGGAAACUGACGGAACUCUUCGGAGGGAAGGCAGUGAAAUGAGCGGCGGACGGGUGAGUAACACGUAAGGAACCUGCCUCAAGGAUUGGGAUAACUCCGUGAAAUCGGAGCUAAUACCGGAUAGUUCAUCGGACCGCAUGGUCCGUUGAUGAAAGGCGCUCCGGCGUCACCUUGAGAUGGCCUUGCGGUGCAUUAGCUAGCUGGUGGGGUAACGGCCCACCAAGGCGACGCUGCGUAGCAGACCUGAGAGGGUGAUCGGCCACACUGGGACUGAGACACAGCCCAGACUCCUACGGGAGGCAGCAGUAGGGAAUCUUCCACAAUGGACGAAAGUCUGAUGGAGCAACGCCGCGUGAGUGAUGAAGGUUUUCGGAUCGUAAAACUCUGUUGUAAGGGAAGAACACGUACGAGAGGGAAUGCUCGUACCUUGACGGUACCUUACGAGAAAGCCACGGCUAACUACGUGCCAGCCGCCGCGGUAACAC
rnacentral:rRNA from 1 species